GUCCGUGAUUCGUCCAGAAGAGGACUCCAUCCAGAACGUGGCAGAAGCGAAGGGUAGCUGGUGCCUGGGCUCGGAGCCUGCAGUCUGGGAGAGUGGGGAGCCCUCCUGCACGCGCUUGCUGCCUCGUCAGUGUCCCUGUGAGACAUGGGGAGCUGAGGAUCGCAGUGGCACAUCUUAAAUUAAAGGCCGGGCCAUCAAUCCCCUGGAGCAGACCGACAUAACAAGGCCUCAAUGCUCACUCUCCUUCAGGAAGCCCUCCCGGACUGACCCUCUGAGACUCCAUCUGACUGACUUCCAUCCUCUGACAGACAAGGCUACGAUUUGUAUUUGAUCAUAUUUGCAGCAACUGUUCUCUGCUGCUUCAUUUUGUGGGAUCCAAACCCCCCAGGCGCAAGGCCGGUGCUUCUCUUUUCUCCCCUCUCU